GUUUCAACAAUUUAGAGGAUCUAUGCAGAUAGCUCCAAGAAGAAAGUGGCUGAUGUUAUCAUGUUGAAUCAUAUAGGGAACAUAGAAGAAAACCUCUAAAGAGAAGAACAUGAAAGAGGGUUGGAAGCUAAACCAUGGAGAUGGCAUUGCCUUCUUGUUUUCUGUCAGAGAGCCAAACAACAUUGAGAAAGUACGCCAGGAGAAGGUAAGGUGCAAGGGAAGUUCAAAUUCGGAAACCACGCAAACAGAGGUGGAGGCGAACAUAUGCUUAUGCCCGCACCGCUAAUACUUAUUAUUUUCAAUAUGUUACUUUUGAAUUAUGUAGACUUUUGAGACUUAUUAUUUUAUUUUUGGAUAUUACAAUUGGUGUAUAGUGGGAUAAUUUUUUUGUAAUUAUAAGAAUUAUUUUGGAAUUGCCAAAUUGUUUGAA